rnacentral:rRNA from 1 species
UACGUAGGGUGCGAGCGUUAAUCGGAAUUACUGGGCGUAAAGCGCGCGCAGGCGGCUCCGCACGUCCCGCGUGAAAUCGCCCGGCUCAACCGGGCGGGGUCGCGGGCGACGGCGGGGCUCGAGCGGGGGAGGGGCAGUGGAAUUCCUGGUGUAGCGGUGAAAUGCGCAGAUAUCAGGAGGAACACCGGUGGCGAAGGCAGUUCUCUGGGCAUGUCCUGACGCUGAGGAACGAAAGUGUGGGGAGCAAACAGG